GGGACUGCAGGGCGCAGCGAGUACCGCAGUGAGCUGCUUUUUCCACAUCUGUAACGUGAUCAGAGGCAAACACACAUCUACAGAGAGGUGGGAAAACCCCAGAUCUGACUGAGAAGGGUUUAAAAUGGCCGUGAAACAAUCGUCCAUUGACAGCAUCUGGUUACAGCAGAUACAACUCCCAGGGGCAUUGCCAAGGUAACGAGCAGCAUUUCUGCUGCAGGAAGAGGCAGAAUUUCAGCACAGCCCUAGCAACACGUCGGGAACGCAGAGGAGAGCGUGCUCGCUCCUCCCAGCAAUGCAGUCCCUCCUUGGCGUGGCUUUUUCCCAAGCAAUGGGCUCUCAGAGGGACAGCUCUGCUCCAAACAGUGCCCAGCAGCAGCGUGUUGCUAAGAGCCUUCCAAGAAUACACACUGCAGAGGAUGGGGCAGGGAGAAAUCCUUCUUUCCACUGAACAGGAGGAUGAGCUUUGCAUCUCAAUGGCUGCUGGGCACUGUCCCUGGGACCUGGGGGACCCGGUCACUCCUGCAGAGCCCCAGCUGAUGAGUGCAGACGGAGGAAAACGGGACAGCACGCUGAAUGGGGGCUUUUAGCUCAGCAAGGGAAAGAAACAGAGCACAGAGCCCUGGCUGGGGACCAAUCCAGGCCAGGCAGGAGUAAUCCCAGACCAAAUAUAGCCCGCGCUGCAGAUACCACGCUGGUGCUGGCAGCAGCCCCAGGCUCUGCGCUCCUACCCUGCGAGGGGCUGCAGGACCACCCCUGCACACUGCCACAAGCCUGCUUCCAUGGCUUCACAUGGACUAUUGCUUUUGUUGUUGCUUAAACUGUGUAUAAAACAAAUAAAAGGAAAAACAUACAAUUGA